CAGUUUGAAAUUUGACGCCGAGCGCGGCGGAACGUAGAGCGUUCCGCUCACAGACCAAACAAGAAAAUGCGGCCAUCGCCCGCCGCUGCUUCUGCUGGCGUCGCAGCAGCAAUGCGGCCAUUAUCCUGCAAGAGGCUGCGACCUGAUCCCUGGGCCAUCCGAUUAAUAACUCGGCGAGAAAAAAAAAAAACGAAAAAAGAACUGGUAAUGCAGUGCAGAAACACUCCAGAAACUCGGUGCAAAAGUGUUGAGAAUACAGACAAGAAAUACCGUCGCAUCAAUAAAUUAAUUACCAACCCAGCGCAACUUGUAUUAAAGCGGAUUUAAUUCAGAACUGCAAAGCACAUUCCAACCAGGACACACGAACUACAACGUCGGAGCAUCUGCCGGAGCGCCGUCCUCCUCCUCCCCUGGCCAUUACUCAGCAGUCUUAGCAGGGCUUAGUGCUGAAUCAUCGCCCACGUCGUUACCGAUUCACCAAUUGUCCGAUUUGGAGCAGGAACAAGAAGGCUUAAAGAAGUGGCGCCGAGUGCUGGGAACCUCGACUGGCGACAGCGAUCCAGGUCGGGAGCUUAGCAAGGCGACUCACUGAUUGAUUUCAGUGCAAACAGAAGACUUCGCAGCUAGCACCUCGCCCAUGGGCAGAUCUAUCAUUCAUUAAAUGAGUGUCGUGUCUAUCCAAUUUCCAGGCCUGGCACCCAUUUUAUCGACGUGAAGAAAGUGCUGUAAUCCGCCGGCAAUCAAUUAGAUACAAGCGCUCUAAGCACUCCCGAAGACAUCGCGCCGUAUCUUAUCUUAUCGCCGCUUCUUCCGAUAAGGUCUGGCAUUACCUUUCCGCACUACGUAUUUCGGACUGCCUCCUAAUCUUGAGUCCCUCGGUGAGGUCUUGGCUUCAGUUGGUUUCCAGCGGCGAGGGCGAAGACAACGCGGAGCUGGCUUCUCCGGCGAAAGGCUUCCGUGACUUUCCGGACAGGAACCCCGACUCGAACACGGAGACCCCGCGAAUGCCUCGAUUUAAUUGGCAGUCCACGGCGGGCUUUGUAAUCACAUUUAUGGGUCAUUCCAUAAUUUCGAAAGGACUAGAGGAAACUGCUAGCCACAGCCGCAUCACGUGUGGCACGAUAAAUAUAAUUUACCCGAGGCGCAUGUAAUUGCGGCGCUGCCUAAAUUACCCCGCCUUGAACACACACAUUGUAUAUGUUUAUUAACAUUUUCACUUUUUUUUUUUGCAGCCGCGAUUGCCUAGCGGACUUCAUUUCGCCCCAGCGACUGUUCCUCAUCAGUUUGCUCCACGUCUACCCUGUAGAUCCGAAUUUGUUUUAUACUAGCUUUAAGGACAAAUUCGGUUCUAGAGAGGUUUGUGUGGUUCAAUAUCCAUCGAAAAAGUGUUGCUGAUGGCAAGCGGAAAAGUGAUUUUAUAAAUAAGUUUUAAGGUCAGAAAUGCUGAUGUCAACAAAUUCGUGCAUAUGUAUUACUCUCUUGAUAAGAUUGGGUUCAUUUGUUUAAUUAAAUUAUUCAGCAUUCGCAAGAAAUUAGAAAGUACAAAUCGGGAGAAUCCAUAAAUUAGGUCACUGAUUCUCCCUCAUAUAGGAGCUGAAAUUUUAAUCAUUAAUAGAGAAGGUAAUAAAAUUGUUAUACCUUUUUUGGGAUGACUCAUUUCAAUCAAAUAGUAACAAUUACUGUUGCCAACUAACACAUUCUUAGUGCUUACCAUAAAAUCAAUGAUAAUAAAUUGCUGUCUUGACACAAUUUUGUUUGGCUUACAUUUAUAGAUAAGAACACGAUGUAUUAAAGUUUCACUUUUCAAUGCCAGUGAUUCAAUGGCGAACGAAUUUUAAAAAAAAUUAUCAGUUAUGCUUUAAUAUCAUAAUAAUGAACUCAAUGAAUGAUCAAAAAUAGUUAAGCCUCAGAUUUUAAUGUCUUUAUUUUUGAAUAAGCAAAAAUACAUGUACUUAUGCUGGGAAAUAAAACAAACGCAGUCAAUUGCUGAUAUGAUAUGUUGUAAUCUAUUUUAGUGAUGAUGAAGAUGAAUAUGUGUGACUUCUUUUGAAUGAAUAAAGACAUAUUUUAUCACUU
ensembl:ncRNA lncRNA:CR42651 long non-coding RNA::CR42651